GAUGAACGCUAGCGGCAGGCCUAAUACAUGCAAGUCGAACGGUGUCUUCGGACAUAGUGGCGCACGGGUGCGUAACACGUAUGCAACCUACCUUACAUUGGGGGAUAGCCUUUCGAAAGGGAGAUUAAUACCGCAUAAGACAGUAGCUGGGCAUCCAGCAGCUGUUAAAGAUUUAUCGAUGUAAGCUGGGCAUGCGUCCAAUUAGCUAGUUGGUGAGGUAACGGCUCACCAAGGCAAUGAUUGGUAGGGGAACUGAGAGGUCAAUCCCCCACACGGGCACUGGGAGACGGGCCGGACUCCAACGGGAGGCAGCAGUAGGGAAUAUUGGGCAAUGGACGCAAGUCUGACCCAGCCAUGCCGCGUGCAGGAUGAAGGCGUUAUGCGUUGUAAACUGCUUUUAUACAGGAAGAAACGACUCUUGCGAGAGGCAUUGACGGUACUGUAUGAAUAAGCACCGGCUAACUCCGUGCCAGCCGCCGCAGUAAUAC
rnacentral:rRNA from 1 species